GGGAACAGGCCCUACCAGUUGUCCUGAAUCUCUGGGGAACAGGCCCUACCAGUUGUGUUUGUCCUGAAUCUCUGGGGAACAGGCCCUGCCAGUUGUCCUGAAUCUCUGGGGAACAGGCCCUACCAGUUGUUUGUCCUGAAUCUCUGGGGAACAGGCCCUGCCAGUUGUCCUGAAUCUCUGGGGAACAGGCCCUGCCAGUUGUCCUGAAUCUCUGGGGAACAGGCCCUGACAGUUGUUUGUCCUGAAUCUCUGGGGAACAGGCCCUGCCAGUUGUCCUGAAUCUCUGGGGAACAGGCCGUACUAGUUGUCCUGAAUCUCUGGGGAACAGGCCCUGCCAGUUGUGUUUGUCCUGAAUCCCUGGGGAACAGGCCCUGCCAGUUGUGUUUGUCCUGAAUCCCUGGGGAACAGGCCCUGCCAGUUGUUUGUCCUGAAUCCCUGGGGAACAGGCCCUACCCGUUGUGUUUGUCCUGCACUAUGGAAAGUUAUGGUUCAUACACUUGUUUAGGGUUUAUGUGUAAGGGACUCUCUCUGUCUCUCUCUGUGCCUCUUCAUUCAGUGUCAUA
ensembl:lncRNA